UUUCCGUAGGUGAACCUGCGGAUGGAUCAUUCAUAAUAAAGUGUUUUAUGGCACUUUUUAAAAAUCCAUAUCCACCUUGUGUGCAAUGUUAGAUCUCGUCAAUCUUGGCGAGAUUUUUAUACAUCAACUCAUUCUUUAACUAAUUUGUCUGAAAAAUAUUAUGAAUACUUAAUUCAGAAUACAACUUUCAACAACGGAUCUCUUGGCUCUC
rnacentral:misc_RNA from 1 species